AUGGCGUAUAUUUCCCAAGACUAAACUACUUUUAUCCGCUGCUUCGUCUUCUUCCUCCAAACUUCUACCCUAAUUUUUCACCAUUUUAGAUAGAUCCCAACUUUGCUGCUCAUUAUUUCAUUUUUCGGUUUCAUUUAGGAUUCAAUCGUUGUUUUAUUCCUCUCUAAUGGCCAAUUGAAUUCAAUUGUGCUUUAACUGUCACUUUUUCCUCUCAAAUCGUCACAUUCGUGCUAAUUCGCUAUAUAUCAGUUUUUUGCAGGUUUAUGUGGAAGCUUAUACAUGUUCUUGUGUUAGAUGUCAUCCUUUCGAACCAUCCUUUGUUGCUCAGUCAAAUGGACAAAUAUUAGAGUGGGUGAUAGAAAUUUCUGACAAUCCAGUGAGGGAUGAGCCUAAACCUACAUUUAGGAGUUAUUGUUAUGUUGUGUUUGGUUUGGCCUCAAGAAUAACAUCUGAUAACUUGCACAUGUUACUGUUGUUUCGAAUGUAGCUUCCUUGAUUCUACUGAUGUGCUGCUGCUAGUACCUUACUGCUGCUGCCUUUGACUGAUGCUAAAUUCAAACUUGUUUGCUGUUGUUGGUUGAUGUUCAUGGAUCUGCGCGUUGUUGGUGAUUUGUUGUGUUUAGUGUUGCAAAUUGUCGAAUUGAGCAAUUGCACUAAAGCCCUAUUGCUGCUGAGCUAUGUGCACGGCGCUGCUUAUGGAUGCCAGUCAUGCCACUGCCAAUGUUUACUGAUAUGGUGUUAUUCUCAGUGAGCUGCUGAUGUGCUACUCCGUUGGGAUGUGUAUGCAAAGUUUGCUGUUAUUUAGUAUGGGGUGCUACUGCCCUAUCUUGUUUGUAGCUUGUUAAUUAAGCCUUGAAUUUAUACACCUUAAUUUAUAGGCUUGUAUUAGUUUUUAUAUAGCCUUAGGUUUGUCUCUUUGAGGUCCCAUCCUUACUCCGUACUCCCAACUUCAUUCAAUUGCAAGUCGGUGUUUGGUAGGUCUCCUAAGUUUUGAAUCAUUUUUUUAUAUUGAUCUGGCUUUUGCUUGGCAUUUUAUAAAAAUUUCUUUACUAAAAAAAUAAUAAUGAAACUAAUUUUUUUUGGCAAAAUAAAUUUUAUUUUUAUUAUUGUUAUUAUUUUUUUUUUGUUUUUUUUAAUAACGGCAUUUCAUUUCAUUAGAAAAGAACUUUACAAGAAGAAGGUGGGGAAUCAAGCAACAAGCUGAACACCCACCCUUUUUUGAAUAAAAAAGCUAGCUUAUGGAAAAUAUAGGCCCUAGACUUGGUACUAUAAGAGUUACUCAAAGCAACCGAUGCAACACUUGAUAGAAGCUCGAGUGCGUCUUCACCUAACUCUCUAAAAGUAGAGAAAGUAAAGGGGAUGAAUUUGUAAUUGUUAUCCUCGCACUUAGUGGUGUAUUUCUUCCUCUUUCUCUCUGCCGCAUUGGCUAAAGAGACAUUAGGGGCCCAUGAGGAGACUCUUAUACCAGCAAAGGCGAGCCUCCGGUUACAUCCUUGCCAUGGAGCCAAUUAAACAGAAGGAAUUCUGCUUGCCUAAGAUCCUUCUCUGCCUUCAAAGAGAACCCCACUGGUACCUCCUUACGGACCAAGAUCCCAGCUCUGCAACAGAUAUCCACGAGCAUGUCCCAAACCAAAUUGUGUCAAAACUUCAAGCCAACCUC